AUUGAACGCUGGCGGCAGGCCUAACACAUGCGAGUCGAACGGUAACAGGAAGCAGCUUGCUGCUUUGCUGACGAGUGGCAGACGGGUGAGUAAUGUCUGGGAAACUGCCUGAUGGAGGGGGAUAACUACUGGAAACGGUAGCUAAUACCGCAUAACGUCGCAAGACCAAAGAGGGGGACCUUCGGGCCUCUUGCCAUCGGAUGUGCCCAGAUGGGAUUAGCUAGUAGGUGGGGUAACGGCUCACCUAGGCGACGAUCCCUAGCUGGUCUGAGAGGAUGACCAGCCACACUGGAACUGAGACACGGUCCAGACUCCUACGGGAGGCAGCAGUGGGGAAUAUUGCACAAUGGGCGCAAGCCUGAUGCAGCCAUGCCGCGUGUAUGAAGAAGACCUUCGGGUUGUAAAGUACUUUCAGCGGGGAGGAAGGGAGUAAAGUUAAUACCUUUGCUCAUUGACGUUACCCGCAGAAGAAGCACCGGCUAACUCCGUG
rnacentral:rRNA from 1 species